AACGAACGCUGGCGGCAGGCUUAACACAUGCAAGUCGAGCGCCCCGCAAGGGGAGCGGCAGACAGGUGAGUAACGCGUGGGAACGUACCUUUUGGUUCGGAACAACUCCGGGAAACUGGAGCUAAUACCGGAUAAGCCCUAACGGGGAAAGAUUUAUCGCCGAAAGAUCGGCCCGCGUCUGAUUAGCUAGUUGGUGAGGUAACGGCUCACCAAGGCGACGAUCAGUAGCUGGUCUGAGAGGAUGAUCAGCCACACUGGGACUGAGACACGGCCCAGACUCCUACGGGAGGCAGCAGUGGGGAAUAUUGGACAAUGGGCGCAAGCCUGAUCCAGCCAUGCCGCGUGAGUGAUGAAGGCCUUAGGGUUGUAAAGCUCUUUUGUCCGGGAAGAUAAUGACUGUACCGGAAGAAUAAGCCCCGGCUAACUUCGUG
rnacentral:rRNA from 1 species